AGGUAGCCUAGUGGUUAGAGGCAGGUAGCCUAGUGGUUAGAGGCAGGUAGCCUAGUGGUUAGAGGAGGCAGGUAGCCUAGUGGUUAGAGGAGGCAGGUAGCCUAGUGGUUAGAGGAGGCAGGUAGCCUAGUGGUUAGAGGAGGCAGGUAGCCUAGUGGUUAGAGGAGGCAGGUAGCCUAGUGGUUAGAGGAGGCAGGUAGCCUAGUGGUUAGAGGAGGCAGGUAGCCUAGUGGUUAGAGGAGGCAGGUAGCCUAGUGGUUAGAGGAGGCAGGUAGCCUAGUGGUUAGAGGAGGCAGGUAGCCUAGUGGUUAGAGGAGGCAGGUAGACUAGUGGUUAGUGGAGGCAGGUAGCCUAGUGGUUAGAGGCAGGUAGCCUAGUGGUUAGUGGAGGCA